AGAGUUUGAUCCUGGCUCAGGACGAACGCUGGCGGCGUGCUUAACACAUGCAAGUCGAACGAUGAACCACUUCGGUGGGGAUUAGUGGCGAACGGGUGAGUAACACGUGGGCAAUCUGCCCUGCACUCUGGGACAAGCCCUGGAAACGGGGUCUAAUACCGGAUACUGACCCGCCUGGGCAUCCAGGCGGUUCGAAAGCUCCGGCGGUGCAGGAUGAGCCCGCGGCCUAUCAGCUUGUUGGUGAGGUAAUGGCUCACCAAGGCGACGACGGGUAGCCGGCCUGAGAGGGCGACCGGCCACACUGGGACUGAGACACGGCCCAGACUCCUACGGGAGGCAGCAGUGGGGAAUAUUGCACAAUGGGCGCAAGCCUGAUGCAGCGACGCCGCGUGAGGGAUGACGGCCUUCGGGUUGUAAACCUCUUUCAGCAGGGAAGAAGCGAAAGUGACGGUACCUGCAGAAGAAGCGCCGGCUAACUACGUGCCAGCAGCCGCGGUAAUACGUAGGGCGCGAGCGUUGUCCGGAAUUAUUGGGCGUAAAGAGCUCGUAGGCGGUUUGUCGCGUCGGAUGUGAAAGCCCGGGGCUUAACCCCGGGUCUGCAUUCGAUACGGGCAGACUAGAGUUCGGUAGGGGAGAUCGGAAUUCCUGGUGUAGCGGUGAAAUGCGCAGAUAUCAGGAGGAACACCGGUGGCGAAGGCGGAUCUCUGGGCCAUUACUGACGCUGAGGAGCGAAAGCGUGGGGAGCGAACAGGAUUAGAUACCCUGGUAGUCCACGCCGUAAACGGUGGGCACUAGGUGUGGGCGACAUUCCACGUCGUCGGUGCCGCAGCUAACGCAUUAAGUGCC
rnacentral:rRNA from 1 species